GAUGAACGCUAGCGGCAGGCUUAACACAUGCAAGUCGAGGGGUAUUGGUUUUCGGACCAAGAGACCGGCGCACGGGUGCGUAACGCGUAUGCAAUCUACCUUUUGCAGAGGGAUAGCCCAGAGAAAUUUGGAUUAAUACCUCAUAGUAUAGUACUUUGGCAUCAAGGAACUAUUAAAGUCACAACGGCAAAAGAUGAGCAUGCGUCCCAUUAGCUAGUUGGUAAGGUAACGGCUUACCAAGGCUACGAUGGGUAGGGGUCCUGAGAGGGAGAUCCCCCCACACUGGUACUGAGACACGGACCAGACUCCUACGGGAGGCAGCAGUGAGGAAUAUUGGACAAUGGGCGCAAGACCUGAUCCAGCCAUGCCGCGUGC
rnacentral:rRNA from 1 species